rnacentral:rRNA from 1 species
GACGAACGCUGGCGGCGUGCUUAACACAUGCAAGUCGAACGGUGAAGCGCUUGCCUUUUUGGUGGGUGUGGAUGAGUGGCGAACGGGUGAGUAACACGUGAGUAACCUGCCCUCUUCUUCUGGAUAACCUCAUGAAAGUGGGGCUAAUACGGGGUAUUCCGGGUCUGUCGCAUGGCGGGUUUGGGAAAGAUUGCGCCUUUGGGUGUUUUCGGUGGGGGAUGGGCUCGCGGCCUAUCAGCUUGUUGGUGGGGUGAUGGCCUACCAAGGCGGUGACGGGUAGCCGGCCUGAGAGGGUGGACGGCCACACUGGGACUGAGACACGGCCCAGACUCCUGCGGGAGGCAGCAGUGGGGAAUAUUGCACAAUGGGCGCAAGCCUGAUGCAGCGACGCCGCGUGAGGGAUGGAGGCCUGCGGGUUGUGAACCUCUUUCGCCAGUGAAGCAGGCCUGCCUCGUUUGUGGGUGGGUUGACGGUAGCUGGAUAAGAAGCGCCGGCUAACUACGUG